rnacentral:rRNA from 1 species
GAUGAACGCUGGCGGCGUGCCUAAUACAUGCAAGUCGAGCGAACAGAUGAGGAGCUUGCUCCUCUGACGUUAGCGGAGGACGGGUGAGUAACACGUGGAUAACCUACCUAUAAGACUGGGAUAACUUCGGGACACCGGAGCUAAUACCGGAUAAUAUAUUGAACCGCAUGGUUCAAUAGUGAAAGACGGUUUUGCUGUCACUUAUAGAUGGAUCCGCGCCGCAUUAGCUAGUUGGUAAGGUAACGGCUUACCAAGGCAACGAUGCGUAGCCGACCUGAGAGGGUGAUCGGCCACACUGGAACUGAGACACGGUCCAGACUCCUACGGGAGGCAGCAGUAGGGAAUCUUCCGCAAUGGGCGAAAGCCUGACGGAGCAACGCCGCGUGAGUGAUGAAGGUCUUCGGAUCGUAAAACUCUGUUAUUAGGGAAGAACAAAUGUGUAAGUAACUAUGCACGUCUUGACGGUACCUAAUCAGAAAGCCACGGCUAACUACGUG